rnacentral:rRNA from 1 species
ACUUAAUAACGAAGUGAACGCUUAGCGUGGAGCAAUCCGCGCUAAACUAAACUUAUAUUGAACUCAAUAUAACUAAGCGAUGGUUGACAUAAACUAAAUUUUCAACGAUGGAUGUCUAGGCUCCCAUAACGAUGAAGAACGCAGCGAGAAUGCGAUAUGCAAUGUGAAUUGCAGAACUACGAAUCAUUUGAUCUUUGAACGCAAAUGGCGCUGAUUCAUGUCAGCAUACUUGUUUCAGUGUGCCUAACCAAAUAAAGCAAAAUGUAGGAGAUAAAUCUCUUAUGAAAUACAUGCUCCGAGUAGCAGUCGCAACUUUUGUGAGUUACUCCGAGAAAAUUUUGUCUUAUUCGCACCUGAAAUCAAGUAAGAUCACCCGCUGGACUUAAGCAUAUUACUAAGCGGAGGAGAAGAAAUUAACUAAGAUUGCCUUAGUAAGGGCGACUGAACCGGCAAAAGCUCGAAAUUAAAAUCGGGAAUCCAAUGGAUUUUCGAAUUGUAAUCAGGGUUGCCUAAAUACGGGAGGCC